rnacentral:rRNA from 1 species
AUUGAACGCUGGCGGCAUGCCUUACACAUGCAAGUCGAACGGCAGCACGGGUGCUUGCACCUGGUGGCGAGUGGCGAACGGGUGAGUAAUACAUCGGAACAUGUCCUGUAGUGGGGGAUAGCCCGGCGAAAGAAGGAUUAAUACCGCAUACGAUCUACGGAUGAAAGCGGGGGACCUUCGGGCCUCGCGCUAUAGGGUUGGCCGAUGGCUGAUUAGCUAGUUGGUGGGGUAAAGGCCUACCAAGGCGACGAUCAGUAGCUGGUCUGAGAGGACGACCAGCCACACUGGGACUGAGACACGGCCCAGACUCCUACGGGAGGCAGCAGUGGGGAAUUUUGGACAAUGGGCGAAAGCCUGAUCCAGCAAUGCCGCGUGUGUGAAGAAGGCCUUCGGGUUGUAAAGCACUUUUGUCCGGAAAGAAAUCCUUGGCCCUAAUACGGUCGGGGGAUGACGGUACCGGAAGAAUAAGCACCGGCUAACUACGUG